CCUACGGGGCGCAGCAGUGAGGAAUAUUGGUCAAUGGGCGGGAGCCUGAACCAGCCACGUCGCGUGAGGGAAGACGGUCCUACGGAUUGUAAACCUCUUUUGCCGGGGAGCAACGGGGUCCUUGCGAGGUCCCAAUGAGAGUACCCGGAGAAAAAGCAUCGGCUAACUCCGUGCCAGCAGCCGCGGUAAUACGGAGGAUGCGAGCGUUAUCCGGAUUUAUUGGGUUUAAAGGGUGCGUAGGCGGGACGGUAAGUCAGCGGUAAAAAUGCGGAGCUCAACUCCGUCGAGCCGUUAAAACUGCCGUU
rnacentral:rRNA from 1 species